UAAGCAAAUUAUGAGUAAAGGCUUGUAUAUAUGCAUACAAGGUUAUUCCUCUGAGCCAUCUCGAAUAAUUGAUCUACACACCCGAAUGCAACUUGCCUCCCUCUCCGAACAGGUGAGAAUAUUAUACUUCCCCAGCUUUUACUCGUGCACGGGCUGUUUCUUUUUGCUGUUCUUCCUUGUCUUUCACCAUAGCCUAAUGCUUCGCUCUACUGGAAGGCAGAGAUGUAAAGUCCAAUAUGUAUAAGGCUAUCAUGAAUUUGCACAUUUUGAUAGAA
rnacentral:misc_RNA from 1 species